UAACACCUGGGAAACAGAUGCUAAUACCCGGAUAACAACACUAGACGCAUGUCUAGAGUUUAAAAGAUGGGUUCUGCUAUCACUCUUGGGAUGGGACCCUGCGGUGCAUUAGCUAGUUGGUAAGGUAACGGGCUUUACCAAGGCAAUGAUGCAUAGCCCGAGUUGAGAGACUGAUCGGGCCACAUUGGGGACUGAGACACGGGCCCAAAACUCCUACGGGGAGGCAGCAGUAGGGAAUCUUCCACAAUGGACGCAAGUCUGAUGGAGCAACGCCGCGUGAGUGAAGAAGGGUUUCGGCUCGUAAAGCUCUGUUGGUAGUGAAGAAAGAUAGAGGUAGUAACUGGCCUUUAUUUGACGGUAAUUACUUAGAAGUCACGGCUAACUACGUGCCAGCAGCCGCGGUAU
rnacentral:rRNA from 1 species